rnacentral:rRNA from 1 species
GCAGAGCUUGCUCUGUGGAUCAGUGGCGAACGGGUGAGUAACACGUGAGCAACCUGCCCCGGACUCUGGGAUAAGCGCUGGAAACGGCGUCUAACACCGGAUACGAGAUUCCACCGCAUGGUGAGUUUCUGGAAAGAUUUUUUGGUCUGGGAUGGGCUCACGGCCUAUCAGCUUGUUGGUGAGGUAAUGGCUCACCAAGGCGUCGACGGGUAGCCGGCCUGAGAGGGUGACCGGCCACACUGGGACUGAGACACGGCCCAGACUCCUACGGGAGGCAGCAGUGGGGAAUAUUGCACAAUGGGCGGAAGCCUGAUGCAGCAACGCCGCGUGAGGGAUGACGGCCUUCGGGUUGUAAACCUCUUUUAGCAGGGAAGAAGCGAAAGUGACGGUACCUGCAGAAAAAGCGCCGGCUAACUACGUGCCAGCAGCCGCGGUAAUACGUAGGGCGCAAGCGUUAUCCGGAAUUAUUGGGCGUAAAGAGCUCGUAGGCGGUUUGUCGCGUCUGCUGUGAAAUCCCGAGGCUCAACCUCGGGUCUGCAGUGGGUACGGGCAGACUAGAGUGCGGUAGGGGAGAUUGGAAUUCCUGGUGUAGCGGUGGAAUGCGCAGAUAUCAGGAGGAACACCGAUGGCGAAGGCAGAUCUCUGGGCCGUUACUGACGCUGAGGAGCGAAAGGGUGGGGAGCAAACAGGCUUAGAUACCCUGGUAGUCCACCCCGUAAACGUUGGGAACUAGUUGUGGGGUCCAUUCCACGGAUUCCGUGACGCAGCU